UAGGGAAUCUUCGGCAAUGGGGGGAACCCUGACCGAGCAACGCCGCGUGAGUGAAGAAGGUUUUCGGAUCGUAAAGCUCUGUUGUUAAGGAAGAACGAGUGUGAGAAUGGAAAGUUCAUGCUGUGACGGUACUUAACCAGAAAGGGACGGCUAACUACGUGCCAGCAGCCGCGGUAAUACGUAGGUCCCGAGCGUUGUCCGGAUUUAUUGGGCGUAAAGCGAGCGCAGGCGGUUAGAAAAGUCUGAAGUGAAAGGCAGUGGCUCAACCAUUGUAGGCUUUGGAAACUGUUUAACUUGAGUGCAGAAGAGGAAAGUGGAAUUCCAUGUGUAGCGGUGAAAUGCGCAGAGAUAUGGAGGAACACCAGUGGCGAAGGCGACUUUCUGGUCUGUAACUGACGCUGAUGUGCGAAAGCGUGGGAAUCAAACAGG
rnacentral:rRNA from 1 species